rnacentral:rRNA from 1 species
UGGGGAAUAUUGCACAAUGGGGGAAACCCUGAUGCAGCGACGCCGCGUGAACGAAGAAGGUAUUCGUAUCGUAAAGUUCUGUCCUAUGGGAAGAUAAUGACAGUACCAUAGAAGAAAGCUCCGGCUAAAUACGUGCCAGCAGCCGCGGUAAUACGUAUGGAGCGAGCGUUGUCCGGAAUUAUUGGGCGUAAAGGGUACGCAGGCGGUUUAAUAAGUCGAAUGUUAAAGAUCGGGGCUCAACCCCGUAAAGCAUUGGAAACUGAUAAACUUGAGUAGUGGAGUGGAAAGUGGAAUUCCUAGUGUAGUGGUGAAAUACGUAGAUAUUAGGAGGAAUACCAGUAGCGAAGGCGACUUUCUGGACACAAACUGACGCUGAGGUACGAAAGCGUGGGGAGCAAACAGG